UUUUUUUUUUGUUUUCCCCAGAAAGUUUCUGAUAUGUAUUCUCUCAUACCGUGGAUGAUGGACACAUGACAUGUUAUUAGACAAGAAUUUGCAGUGCCAAAAAGAGGUGAGAUUACAAAUUGUCGAUGGUUUAACACUAAAGUGUGUCGGAAUGGGUGUAAAUAUAUAAAAUAAUUAGAUGAAGUGGUUUAACACUAAACUAUCAAGCAUGUUGUGCCAGUAUAUUAACUGGGUGAUUUGCGUGCAAUGAAAAAAUUAGCUAGGGAAACAAGCCAAAGAAAUACCCAUAUAGUAUAAACUAGAAUAAGUAAUACAUUAGGAUUUAAUUUCCCGUAUUUGAUAAUUUCCUUUCUAAAUUAUUUGUUUGGGAUAAUAGUAGCAAAAGUCUCAAACUUUUGAAACACUAGUUGACUUUUUCUAAAUCUUUCAAACACUAAAGUUGUCAACCCAAACUUUUCAACCAUUGCAUCGCAAGCCUUUUUGGAUGGUUUCCAUCCGGUCCACUGUCAGUUAAAAAUUAAUUUUGAUUACAUUUUGAUCAAAUGAGGGCAAAAUGUACUUCCAUAUUUAUCACAUUAAAGAAUUAAAAUAAUUAAAUUACAAAACAAAAAAAAAAACAAAAAAGAAAUGAAACGGAAAAGCCAAUCUUUCUUCUACCUAAAUCCAUCCCGCCCUUAAUGUCUACAACCGCUAGCGACUAUCGACGUCAUUGCAAAGCUUCAACACCAUUACUCCACACUCACUCAUCACUACCACCGCAAACCAACUACCAUCAUUGCUACCAUCGAAUCCAACAUUACCGUCAUCCCCAAAAAUUGCCACCCCCAUCUCCCGACCAAAAAUCAAACCCAAGCAAUAAAAUCAUUCGUCACCUCAACCAUCAGCCAUGAACCACAAACACACAAACCGUACAUACUAUUGGGCAAACGACAAUAUAUAUAUAUAGAUCAAACUCCAAAGCAUCAAGAAUCGCACAUUUUUUCUAAAAAUUCUAAUAAAUCCAACAAUACUCACGGUCACGCACUAUUGUCAGUCGGUAAGCCUCAUCUAGGCAAAAGUUCAUUUUGAAACAUCAUCAAAAAUAGUUCCAGCCUGUCGUACCGCAAAACGAAGUCAAUCAGCCUCAUUCAAUUCAUCGGUUGGAGUAGAGGAAUAAGAAUGUGUUUUACGAGGUGGUUCAGAAGUGGAAGGAGUAUGCGUGCAACAUUUUGCGUUGUUGAUGGCGCUGACGAUGACUAGGUGGUAUUGGUUUUGGUUUGGGGUGUAAGGUGUAGGGUUUUGGGUGAAGACGAUAAAUAUUUUUAUUUUUCUUCAUUUCCUUUUUUAUUUUUUUGUAUUUAUUUACUUUAAUUAAAUAAUGUAGUAAAUUGCAAGUUACUAUUUUACCUUUUAUAAAAUUAUUAAAAAAAAUGUUCAAACUAACUUUUUGGGUCAACUAAUAGAAAUAUGAGUGAAAAUCAUCCAAAAGAUUUGGAGUGACAGUUAUAACGUUUGAAAAGCUUGGAGAAAGUCUGCUAGUAUUUCGAAGAUUUUGAGCUUUUGCUACAAUUAUCCCUAUUUGUUUAGAUAAGCAACUUCUAUCUUUUUUAUCUAAAGAGUUCAAUGUAAAAUAGGAGUAGGGUUUUUUUAGUUACAAAAUCACUACUGAUUUUUAUUAUUGAGAUAUAUUGAGUUCCUCUCUUAUUUGUC